AAUAUUUUCAUUUAGAAAAACGAAGGCCACUUUAGAGCACAGAAAACGUUGAAAAGGUUUUGCUUAACAUUAAAGGAGAAAAGAAGACGACAGACAGACAGAAAGAGUCCUGUUGCUUUAGGUGAAAGGCAAGCAAUAUGAAGUGUUUAAUCAAUAUAGCCCUGCUGUUAUGCAUUCUCGUCAACGUUGAGUGCCUGAUUUGUCCAUCCUGUUUUAGCAAAGUGUCCCUUGMGAAAUGCAAGGUCAAAGCAGAAACAUGUCAGAAUACAAAUGACAUAUGUACAUUCUAUUACAUAGAAAGGACGACUAAAGUUAACGGAAGCAACUUUAAAGAAAAGCGUUUUAUUAAAGGCUGUAUGUCAAAGAAAAUGUAUAAUCUUCACAAGAUGAUGUGCAAUCUUCCACGGUUCAAUUGCAAAAUCACACAAGAGAAAGCAUAUUCUAAAGACUAUGUUCAAGGCAAAACUGCUUAAUACUAAGCAUAUAGUUCUAUCAAAUUAGUAUAUAAUUGAGACUAAGAAAUAGAYACAUAUAAGGCUGGUUAUUUAGCAAAACUUUGCAAAUAGAUAACAAUAGAUUAAGCAACAAAUAUACAAAACUUCAUGURAAAGUCGUCAUUUAUUAAUCCUCAUUGGGUUCUAAAAAAAGUCCAAAUCAGACAAUUUGA